UGAGGAACCCACCCCGGAGACCGGGAUAACCCUCCGAAAGGAGAGCUAAUACCGGAUGUCCUCAUCGGAUCGCAUGUUCUGAUGAGGAAAUGGAUUCCGCUCCGGGACGGCCUCGCGGCCUAUCAGCUAGUUGGUGAGGUAACGGCCCACCAAGGCGACGACGGGUAGCUGGUCUGAGAGGAUGGCCAGCCACAUUGGGACUGAGACACGGCCCAGACUCCGUACGGGGGGCAGNAG
rnacentral:rRNA from 1 species